CCACCCACUAAACUUUCCCUCCAUCCCCACACCCCACCCAUCCCUGGCGCUAGCCCCUUACCCUAGAACUAAAGAAGAUGCCUGUUUCAGAGCAGGCCUUGCUCACUACCAAAUUCGGGCAAAACUGUAAAUACUGUAAGUGGUCGGCGGCCCUCAGCUGGCCUGAGCCCCUCCCUCAGCUCCCUCUACUCUGGGGGGGGGGCGCCUCCUUCACUGUGGGGUGGGCAUGGACGGCUGGGCCUUUAGGGCAUUGGCCACGGGGAGAGGGGCAGGCUUGACCUUGUUCUCCACCCUGGCUCAGGAAUGGGUCAGAAGGGCCAGGAACUGCCCUCCAGACAAAAAUAAAUAACAAAAUAAAGACCCUCCCCAAAUCCCGGCUCUGUGACAGAGAGGCUCUCCCACUGGCUCUAGUCCCUCUUCCAUUUGACCCACCCAUUGGACCCUUCCCUCCUUCCCCUUGCCCACCGCCACCUCUGCCCUGCCCUCUGCCCACUCAGGAGGAGGGUUCUACCACCAUCGGACCCCCACAAGCAAACCCCACCUUCCCCAAUGUCUUGGGGUGCUGUGGGCACCCCACGCCCCAUGGGCCUGGCAGGCUCCCCGUCCCGGGGGCUACAAGUGUGGAAGGCCGGGUCUCCCUGGCGCUCUCACCUGGUUCUUCAGUCUGUCCAGCCGGGCCUGCCCUGCUCCCCACCCCACCCCAGUCCAGGUGCCUGGGCCGCCCACCCCCUCAGAUGGCCGUGUCCCAGAGGACCGUGUGCUGCCGGCGACAAGGCGGGGUGCCGGACUUCCGGGGCUCGGGCCCCGCCGCCAGCUAGGGAGGAUGGGCAUGCUCUCCUGCUUGCAGAGACCGCGGUCCGGGCGGUGGCGCGCCUUUGAUCUCCUUGCACACGCAGCGCUUGCGCUCGAUCACCUCCAGCAGCUUCCCGUCGCGCUCGCGGGCUGGCGGGGGUGGCAAGGGCAGCGGCAGCGGCAGCGCGGGGUGGGUCUGGCAGGGUAUAGGCAGCGCCGUGCGGCUCCCUCCCUCGAUCGUGGUGGAUCCUGGCCAGCAGGCCCUCUGCCCCCUGGCUCCUCACUGGGAUCGCUGAUGCCACAGGGCCCCUGUCCUCACGCUCCAUCUUGCCUGGACCCUCAGAACUGCCAUUCCAAGCCCGGGCACCAUCCUCGACCU
rnacentral:lncRNA from 1 species